rnacentral:rRNA from 1 species
UGGGGAAUAUUGGACAAUGGGCGAAAGCCUGAUCCAGGCAUGCCGCGUGUGUGAAGAAGGUCUUCGGAUUGUAAAGCACUUUAAGUUGGGAGGAAGGGCAGUUACCUAAUACGUGAUUGUUUUGACGUUACCGACAGAAUAAGCACCGGCUAACUCUGUGCCAGCAGCCGCGGUAAUACAGAGGGUGCAAGCGUUAAUCGGAAUUACUGGGCGUAAAGCGCGCGUAGGUGGUUUGUUAAGUUGGAUGUGAAAUCCCCGGGCUCAACCUGGGAACUGCAUUCAAAACUGACUGACUAGAGUAUGGUAGAGGGUGGUGGAAUUUCCUGUGUAGCGGUGAAAUGCGUAGAUAUAGGAAGGAACACCAGUGGCGAAGGCGACCACCUGGACUAAUACUGACACUGAGGUGCGAAAGCGUGGGGAGCAAACA